GCCCCUAUAGCUCAGGGGAUAGAGCGCUGCCCUCCGGAGGCAGAGGCCCAAGUUCGAAUCUUGGUAGGGGCG
rnacentral:tRNA from 1 species